rnacentral:rRNA from 1 species
UACGUAGGGCGCAAGCGUUGUCCGGAAUUAUUGGGCGUAAAGAGCUCGUAGGCGGUUUGUCGCGUCUGCUGUGAAAACCUGAGGCUCAACCUCGGGCUUGCAGUGGGUACGGGCAGACUAGAGUGCGGUAGGGGUGACUGGAAUUCCUGGUGUAGCGGUGGAAUGCGCAGAUAUCAGGAGGAACACCGAUGGCGAAGGCAGGUCACUGGGACGGUAUUGACGCUGAGACGCGAAAGCGUGGGGAGCAAACAGG